UUGAAAGUUUCUUAAAAUGUAGAAAAGGAAAGCCAUUGGACUUUGUAAAUAAAAAUCUACAUGUUGAAAAGAUCAAAUAUGAUGAUGACGGUAAAUUUUAUUCAACUGACUGUUAACACUACAAAACAUGCUGCAAUGUACUGGCAGCAUUGAUUAAUACAGUUAAUUCAUGAUAAAUGGCCAAGCAAUUUCUAAGUCCACCAGUAAGCUGGAUUCUAGUUUGUGAGUGGUUAACAUCUUUUUGCUAUAUGAGUGUUAAAGUUACUUCAGGUUCUCAGCAAAUUUGCAUAGGUGUUAAGGAGAAAGCUACAUUAGUUAGGAAACUAAAAGUAUUUUACAAUUACACAUAGACAAUUAUAUUUUAUGUAUUAGAAAAUAUGGUUUACUAUUAUAUUUUUUUGGAAAAGGGUGAGGCAUUUUAAAUGAUCCUAUGUUAGGCUUGCUUCUGGUUGACUAUUAUAUUCCCUUCUUCUUCUUAAUCGGGAGAAGUCAUUAUUCUGGUGGGUUGUUUUGGGGCCACAUAUUAUAAAACACUGGGUCACCUUGAGGGCUGGACCCACCUCCACCCUUUCUUUUAUGUCUUCCUGCUUCAGAAUUUAGCAGGGCCCAGCCCACCAGGGAGAUUCUCUUUCCUUUGUGCACACCAGCUUUUCUCUUUCUCUAAAUCACGGUGGCUGGCUUAGGUACCUAUUGGAUGCAGUUUGGUGAGCCCUGGACAUUCUUACUCUGAAUAUCACCUUGUAACACUGAAUAGGCAUUAUUCAAAAUCCAGGGAAAGUAAGAGAGACCUAGACUACGUGGCAAAUCUAAACUAUGAUGCAUUGCAGACUGCUAUCAUUCCCUUUUUAAUGUUAAAAUUUAAGUCCAAUCUGAAAACAUCUGUAGUGUGUACAGUAUUCUAGGAAUCCUGCAAGGAAAUGAAGCAAAUGAUAGGAUAGGAUUUGGUGAUAUCUGUUCCUGCCCUAUAAU